CAUCGGUGACAGGUGGUGCCAUGGUUGUCGUCAGCUCGUGUCGUGAGAUGUUGGUUAAGUCCCGCAACGAGCGCAACCCCUAUUGUUAGUUGCCAUCAUUCAGUUGGGCACUCUAGCGAGACUGCCGGUAAUAAACCGGAGGAAGGUGGGGAUGACGUCAAAUCAUCAUGCCCCUUAUGACCUGGGCUACACACGUGCUACAAUGGUUGGUACAACGAGUUGCGAGUCGGUGACGGCGAGCUAAUCUCUUAAAGCCAAUCUCAGUUCGGAUUGUAGGCUGCAACUCGCCUACAUGAAGUCGGAAUCGCUAGUAAUCGCGGAUCAGCACGCCGCGGUGAAUACGUUCCCGGGCCUU
rnacentral:rRNA from 1 species